AAGAAACCGUUCACACGACUCUCGCCUCGCCCGCACGACUCCCCCGCGCCGUUCCUCCUCCCGCAGCCGGGCGCGGGCCGCAGGUCGCGAGCCGCCGCCGGAGCCUCCCUUCGCCGCGGGCCGCGGUCGCCGCCGCACCCUUCGCCGCAGUUCACCGCCCGAGCCGCCGCGCCCUUCGCCGCAGUUCACCGCCCGAGCCGCCGCGCCCUUCGCCGCGGGCCACAGGCCGCCGGAGCCGCCCUUCGCCGCGGGCCGCGAUCGCCGCCGCGCCCUUCGCCACCGCGCCCUCCGCUUCUAUUUCACGCUCGCCGACGGGCCAACCACCACCGCCACGGGAAGCCCCGAUGAGAUCGCCAAGCUGUUCCCCAACUUGUACGGCCAGCCUUCGGCCGAGCCGGCCGCAAUGAAGUUGCUCAAGAUCAGUCGUCGUGCUUUCUGGUGGCUAGGCUCUAGGGGGGCAGAAUGUGAUCUGUGAUGUCUCUGGGGAGGCCCGGCUGGUGUCAUGAAGGGAAGUACGUCCAGGCGACUGUUGAUUUCGUGUACCCCUAAUGAAACCACACAAGAGCUCUACCCCAGCAUGGCUUCCCCAUCUCUGGUCGUCCUCUUGCAUUCCUCCAUUGGUGGCUGGGAAGAUGGGCCACCACCGAAGCCGCUCCCAGUAAUCGCCAAACUGUACCUGCUAGAUUAAUGAGGUCGCAGCCGAGGCCGACCAUCGCCGCGCCAACUCAUGGGUUCGAUGUGGGUUUAUUUGCAUAUUAUUUACUUAAUAAAAUGGUUUGAGGUGAAGAGCCAAAGGCCUGAAGCCAAAUGUUCCUAACAGAACGACGAUCCGCAGGAAACAAGGCCAACGCUAUGUGUGCCUGCAAGAUUGAGGUUCCCAGAUAUUUUUCUUUUCUCCAUGAUCCUACACCAUUGUAUUGCUUCAUGUAGAUCCCUUUAUCAUUCAUUUUUAUUGUUCAAAUCUCUAUAUGGUUGUCAUAUAGAUGUUAUUACAGGGAUGUAGCACUAAUGCAUUAUAUUUUUCAUUUGUUGUUAUAAACAGAACUCCCUCUGUACUGAUGCAUAUAUGUUUUUUUCUUUUAAUUACAGUAUCUCUUUUCGGACUGGUCGGGCUUUCUAGAUUUCUAGAUUGGAGGAAGUUUGUUUGAAAUUUGCCUUUGGGUUUCAGAAAAUUCAGAAUAAGUUCCUACACCAGCCGUAACUAGAUAAUAACUGGAUAAAUCAUGUAUUACGCAAUGCUCCGCGCCAUUAUCCGUGGAGUAUUUGCAGCUGUAUUCUUUGUCAUUUGAUGCUCAAUCAGGUUUGCACCUAAUCAUUUACUUUCUAAAGAACACCUCUGAAGUUUCAUUUACACAGGAAGUGAGUCACUAUCGCUAUCAUGGAAAUUCGAGUAUUUAGCAUUUUCAGUAUGUUUUGUCCCCC